CCUACGGGGGGCAGCAGUGAGGAAUAUUGGUCAAUGGACGAGAGUCUGAACCAGCCAAGUCGCGUGAAGGAUGACUGCCCUAUGGGUUGUAAACUUCUUUUGUAUGGGAAUAAAAUGUUCCACGUGUGGGCUUUUGUAUGUACCAUAUGAAUAAGGAUCGGCUAACUCCGUGCCAGCAGCCGCGGGAAUACGGAGGAUCCGAGCGUUAUCCGGCAUUAUUUGGUUUAAAGGGAGCGUAGGUGGAUUGUUAAGUCCGUUGUGAAAGUUUGCGGCCUAAACGUAAAAUUGCAGUUGAAACUGGCAGUCUUGAGUACAGUAGAGGUGGGCGGAAUUCGUGGUGUAGCGGUGAAAUGCUUAGAUAUCACGAAGAACUCCGAUUGCGAAGGCAGCUCACUGGACUGCAACUGACACUGAGGCUCGAAAGUGUGGGUAUCAAACAGGAUUAGAUACCCUGGUAGUC
rnacentral:rRNA from 1 species